rnacentral:rRNA from 1 species
UACCCGAAUAAGAAGGUCCGGCUAACUUCGUGCCAGCAGCCGCGGUAAUACGAAGGGACCUAGCGUAGUUCGGAAUUACUGGGCUUAAAGAGUUCGUAGGUGGUUGAAAUAGUUGGUGGUGAAAUCCCAGAGCUUAACUCUGGAACUGCCAUCAAAACUUUUCAGCUAGAGUAUGAUAGAGGAAAGCAGAAUUUCUAGUGUAGAGGUGAAAUUCGUAGAUAUUAGAAAGAAUACCAAUUGCGAAGGCAGCUUUCUGGAUCAUUACUGACGCUGAGGAACGAAAGCAUGGGUAGCGAAGAGGAUUAGAUACCCUCGUAGUCCAUGCCGUAAACGAUGUGUGUUAGACGUUGGAAAUUUAUUUUCAGUGUCGCAGCGAAAGCGAUAAACACACCGCCUGGGGAGUACGACCGCAAGGUUAAAACUCAAAUGAAUUGACGGGGACCCGCACAAGUAGUGGAGCAUGUGGUUUAAUUCGAAGAUACGCGCAGAACCUUACCAACACUUGACAUGUUCGUCGCGACUUUAAGAGAUUAAAGUUUUCGGUUCGGCCGGACGAAACACAGGUGCUGCAUGGCUGUCGUCAGCUCGUGUCGUGAGAUGUUGGGUUAAGUCCCGCAACGAGCGCAACCCUCACUUUUAGUUGCCAUCAUUAAGUUGGGCACUCUGAAAGAACUGCCAGUGAUAAGCUGGAGGAAGGUGGGGAUGACGUCAAGUCCUCAUGGCCCUUACGUGUUGGGCUACACACGUGCUACAAUGGUAUCUACAACAGGAAGCAA